CCCUUAGAUGUUCUGGGCCCCACGCGCGUUACACUGAUGAAGCCAGCGAGUAUAUCGCCUUCACCGGAAGGUGCGGGUAAUCUUGUGAAACUUCAUCGUGCUGGGGAUAGACCAUUGCAAUUAUUGGUCUUGAACGAGGAAUUCCUAGUAAGCAUGAGUCAUCAACUCGUGCUGAUUACGUUCCUGCCCUUUGUACACACCGCCCGUCGCUACUACCGAUUGAAUGGUUUAGUGAGAUCUCGGGAUUGGAGACGUUGCGCCGCAAGGCACAUCGUCCUCGAGAACUUGAUCAAACUUGAUCAUUUAGAGGAAGUAAAAGUCGUAACA
rnacentral:rRNA from 1 species